UUACCUCAUAUUUGUAUGGAGUUGAAACAUUUGCCUGCGUUUGCCGCUAGGGGCGCUGUUCCAACUGCAUACAAAAUUGGCUUA
rnacentral:pre_miRNA from 1 species